CUGUGUCUUGCUUCAACAGUGUUUGGACGGAGCAG
rfam:Neotoma lepida isolate 417 scaffold_2252, whole genome shotgun sequence.